rnacentral:rRNA from 1 species
UACGUAGGGAGCAAGCGUUGUCCGGAAUCAUUGGGCGUAAAGCGCGCGUAGGUGGCCUCGUAAGUCCGCUGUGAAAGUCAAAGGCUCAACCUUUGAAAGCCGGUGGAUACUGCGGGGCUAGAGUACGGAAGAGGCGAGUGGAAUUCCUGGUGUAGCGGUGGAAUGCGCAGAUAUCAGGAGGAACACCAAUAGCGAAGGCAGCUCGCUGGGACGUCACUGACACUGAGGCGCGAAAGCGUGGGGAGCGAACAGG